rnacentral:rRNA from 1 species
UUGACCCUUUCGACCUCAAAUCAGGCAGGACUACCYGCUGAACUUAA